rnacentral:tRNA from 1 species
GGGAAGAUGGUCUAGCUUGGCUAUGAUUCCGGUUUCGGGAGCCGAAUCGAGGGUUCAAAAUUAUGGGCCCAUAUGGACCCAGAAUGAAAUUCCCUCUCUUCCCA